rnacentral:rRNA from 1 species
GGUGGCUAUGCCGAGGGGGCCACACCCGUUCCCAUCCCGAACACGGAAGUUAAGUCCCUCAGGGCCGAUGAUACUGCACGGGCAGCUGUGUGGGAAAGUAGGUCGCCGCC